rnacentral:rRNA from 1 species
AACGAACGCUGGCGGCAUGCCUAACACAUGCAAGUCGAACGAGACCUUCGGGUCUAGUGGCGCACGGGUGCGUAACGCGUGGGAACCUGCCCUUAGGUUCGGAAUAACUCCCCGAAAGGGGUGCUAAUACCGGAUAAUGUCUUCGGACCAAAGAUUUAUCGCCUUUGGAUGGGCCCGCGUUGGAUUAGCUAGUUGGUAGGGUAAAAGCCUACCAAGGCGACGAUCCAUAGCUGGUCUGAGAGGAUGAUCAGCCACACUGGGACUGAGACACGGCCCAGACUCCUACGGGAGGCAGCAGUGGGGAAUAUUGGACAAUGGGCGAAGGCCUGAUCUAGCAAUGCCGCGUGAGUGAUGAAGGCCUUAGGGUUGUAAAGCUCUUUUACCCGGGAUGAUAAUGACAGUACCGGGAGAAUAAGCUCCGGCUAACUCCGUG